UACAGGGGGGGCAAGCGUUGUUCGGAAUUACUGGGCGUAAAGGGUUCGUAGGUGGCCAACUAAGUCAGACGUGAAAUCCCUCAGCUUAACUGGGGAACUGCGUCUGAAACUGGUUGGCUCGAGUGCAGGAGAGGAAUGCGGAAUUCCAGGUGUAGCGGUGAAAUGCGUAGAUAUCUGGAGGAACACCGGUGGCGAAGGCGGCAUUCUGGACUGUAACUGACACUGAGGAACGAAAGCCAGGGGAGCAAACGGG
rnacentral:rRNA from 1 species